AUGGAAGAGGAUAAUGGAGACAUGUGGAGGUUAACUGGAAUUUACGGUGAACAAAGUUGGGAUAAUAAAAACCGUGCAUAUCAAUUACUACAGGAUCUUCAUGCCCAAUCCAAGUUGUUGUGGACUGUAAUUGGUGAAUUUAAUGAGAUUCUAUUCUCAUCAGAGAAAGAUGGUGGGGCCCCUGGACAUCAAUCCCAUCUACAAGCUUUUCAGGAUGCCUUGUGUCCGACUGCUCCCUUGAAGACUUGGGUUAUGAGAGAGACAUAUUCACGUGGUUCCGUGGAGUGUUGCGGGAAAGACUAG
rnacentral:rRNA from 1 species